rnacentral:rRNA from 1 species
UACAGAGGGGGCAAGCGUUGUUCGGAAUUACUGGGCGUAAAGGGCGCGUAGGCGGCCUUCUAAGUCGAACGUGAAAUCCCCGGGCUCAACCUGGGAACUGCGUCCGAUACUGGAAGGCUUGAAUCCGGGAGAGGGAUGCGGAAUUCCAGGUGUAGCGGUGAAAUGCGUAGAUAUGUGGAAGAACACCUGUGGCGAAAGCGGUUUUCUAGCUUAUACCUGACGCUGAGGCGCGAGAGCAAGGGGAGCAAACAGG